rnacentral:rRNA from 1 species
CCUACGGGAGGCAGCAGUGGGGAAUCUUGCACAAUGGGGGGAACCCUGAUGCAGCGACGCCGCGUGGGUGAAGGAGUACUUCGGUACGUAAAGCCCUAUCAGCAGGAAAGAAAAUGACGGUACCUGACUAAGAAGCCCCGGCUAACUACGUGCCAGCAGCCGCGGUAAUACGUAGGGGGCAAGCGUUAUCCGGAUUUACUGGGUGUAAAGGGUGCGUAGGCGGUCCGUUAAGUCAGCGGUAAAAUUGCGGGGCUCAACCCCGUCGAGCCGUUGAAACUGGCAGACUUGAGUUGGCGAGAAGUACGCGGAAUGCGCGGUGUAGCGGUGAAAUGCAUAGAUAUCGCGCAGAACUCCGAUUGCGAAGGCAGCGUACCGGCGCCAGACUGACGCUGAGGCACGAAAGCGUGGGGAUCGAACAGGAUUAGAUACCCCAGUAGUC